rnacentral:rRNA from 1 species
UACGGAGGGGGCGGGCGUUAUUCGGAAUUAUUGGGCGUAAAGGGCGCGUAGGCGGCCCUGUAAGUCAAAGGUGAAAUCCCUCGGCUCAACUGAGGAACUGCCUUUGAAACUGCAGGGCUUGAGGCCGGGAGGGGGUAGCGGAAUUCCCAAUGUAGCGGUGAAAUGCGUAGAUAUUGGGAGGAACACCAGUGGCGAAGGCGGCUACCUGGACCGGUUCUGACGCUGAGGCGCGAAAGCGUGGGUAGCAAACAGG